AAUUUCAACUAAAAAAGUCAUCAACAACAAAGUUGUAUAACUCACCAAGAUCUAUAACUUUUAUGUUUGUCAUUUCUUCAUCUGACAAAGUGAUAGUAACAUUGUUCACAAAAUUUACAUAUAUGUGUUAUAGUUUAUAAAACCAGAUGAGAGAGAUGUGAAUUUUGUGAACAAUAUUAUUAUCACUUUGCCGGAUGAAGAAAUGGCCAAAAUAAAAGUUAUAGAACUUGAUGAGUUAUACAACUUUGUUGGUGAUGACUUUUUCAGUUGAAAUC
rfam:Oryza barthii chromosome 8, whole genome shotgun sequence.